AAGUGGAUUAGUGGCGCACGGGUGAGUAAUACAUAGAUAACAUACCCUUUAGUCUGGAAUAGCCACUGGAAACGGUGAUUAAUACUGGAUACUCCCUACGGGGGAAAGUUUUUCGCUAAAGGAUUGGUCUAUGUCCUAUCAGCUUGUUGGUGAGGUAAUGGCUCACCAAGGCUAUGACGGGUAUCCGACCUGAGAGGGUGAACGGACACACUGGAACUGAGACACGGUCCAGACUCCUACGGGAGGCAGCAGUAGGGAAUAUUGCUCAAUGGGGGAAACCCUGAAGCAGCAACGCCGCGUGGAGGAUGAAGGUUUUAGGAUUGUAAACUCCUUUUGUUAGAGAAGAUU
rnacentral:rRNA from 1 species